GUUAGGAAUAUUGGACAAUGGGCGAAAGCCUGAUCCAGCCAUGCCGCGUGAACGAUGAAGGCCUUCGGGUUGUAAAGUUCUUUAGCCGAUGAUUAUAAUGACUGUAGUCGGAAAAUAAGCCCCGGCUAACUUCGUGCCAGCAGCCGCGGUAAUACGAAGGGGGCGAGCGUUAUUCGGAAUCACUGGGCGUAAAGCGUGCGUAGGCGGUUUUGUAAGUUAGGAGUGAAAGCCCAGGGCUCAACCUUGGAAUUGCUCUUAAAACUGCAAGGCUCGAAUCUCGGAGAGGAUAGCGGAAUUUCCAGUGUAGCAGUGAAAUGCGUAGAUAUUGGAAGGAACACCAGUGGCGUAAGCGGCUAUCUGGACGAGUAUUGACGCUGAGGCACGAAAGCGUGGGGAUCAAACAGGAUUAGAAACCCUUGUAGUCC
rnacentral:rRNA from 1 species